CCCGCCAUAGUUUAUAUAAAACAUCGACCUGCAAAAUCGAGAAAGGAACUUAUUUUUCCUGGUGUGU
rnacentral:tRNA from 1 species